AGCAGUAACCAAAACAGAGAACCAAAACAAUGGCUUUCUUCUCCGCAGCAACAUCUCUUCUCCUCCUAGUCCUCUCUGUUUCCUCUCCUUAUGUUCAUGGAAACAUUAUACCAGCCUCCGGGUGUACCCUUGUUGUUCCCCUGUUCCCAUGUUUAUCAUUUAUAACGAUCGGGAGUACGAUGGAUACACCCUCAAAUUCGUGCUGCUCCAGUCUCAAGAAUAUCCUCGAUACGGAACCGGAAUGUCUAUACGAAGAAGGGCCGGCGCAGAGGGCAAGCCACCGAAGCCACCGAUUAGGGCCUCAAAAUUUGAGGGCCUUUUUACCUAAAAACUUGUUAAGUUUUCCUUAUAUACAAUAAUUUUUGUAGGGCCUUUUAAAAAUAUUGUUGGCUUUUAGAGACAACUACAACAUUUUUUUUAAUGGUAAAAAUCUAAUUUAAAAGAAUUUUUUUUUUAUGGCUUUAAUUUUGCUUAGGGCACCCAAAUUUACCGGGCCGGCACUGAUGCGAAGGGUUGAAGAACACUGCCUCUUACGGAAUCAAACUUAACGUUACUAAGGCUACUACUCUUCCCGAUGCUUGUAAAGUUUAUGCUCCUCCGGUGGCAGCUUGUGGUGCAUUGUCUCCUGCUAGUCCUCCUGCUACUAAUGCGCAAGGAAAAUGGAAUUUUUUUGGACUUCUUGCUUGAAUCAAGUUUUGGUUGGCGUUAUUAAAAAAAAUUAGUCCUUUUUCGUCUUAUAAAGCUUGUGUGGAUGUGAUAUCUAGUGUAAUGUGCCAUGUUCAUGUAAUAAGAGAAGAGCUUUGUCUAAAUCUCCAUUUUGUUAAAGUUGACAUAUAGUUGUGUGAUUUCUCUUCUGCCAUAUCGUAAAAGACACAAUUCACUUGGCAAAUGCAUAUUUGUCCAAAAGAAUUAUUAACGAACAUCUAAAUAUCAAAAACAUUUUUUAUAUGUGUUUAUCACAAACAAAACACAUAAAUCAAAAGAAUUUUUAACCAACAUCUUAAUAUCACAAACAUAUUUUAUAUGUUGCCAUGGCCCAUGAAUGGAGAAGACAAACAAAACACAUAAAUCAAAAGAAUGUAUUAAGUAUUUCUUAAGUAGGUAAAUUAGAUCUUCAACUUCACCUUCACAUGUUUGACAAACAAUUGUAACAG